rnacentral:misc_RNA from 1 species
AAGUUAACAGAUGGGAUUUCCAAAACAUUGAUGGAGCGAGAUAAAAGUAAUGGAGACUGAGACAGUCUUGUGAAAAACUUCAAGUUGAAGCAGGAUUACAAUACGUUUGAGUCACAGAUAAAGUCACUGUUGCCGUGGAAAAUAUGGAAACACUGAAAUCCCAUCAACACAACCAAUUCAUCUCAACUGGGAAUAUCGCCAAAAUUCUAUCCAUGGAUCUGAAACUCUUCAAGAUUAGUUAAUGCAAUGUUGGGCGAGUAACUCGCGGCCUCACAGGUGUCUUUGAUGGACUUACCCGGAUGGGUUGGCUUCCUAAGACCAUUCCGCUGCAAUUCAGAGCAAUAAUGGCACUUUCUGCCAUGGUAAAUUCAACAAAAGCUAUACGACUUGAAUGGACAUGAUCGCCCAAAAGCCUCAAGCGAGUAACCUCACCACAUGUUGAUUCAAAGAAAUUUUUUACUUCAGCCUGAGAAACCUUUUUAUCAAUAUUUGUACAGUAUACUGUCCUGGUACACAUCUCCCGCUCAUCUUCUGACCUAGGGAGAAAUGUAGGAUUCACUGGAAGGAUGGCUGUUUUUGAAGGUAAGACUCUAACUGGAUAGUAACCUAGCAUCGUCCCACCGAGGUUUAAAGCUGCUCUUGCACCUUGCUCAUCAGCAAACUCCACAAAUGCAAAACGGAGAACUGAAUGUGGAUCUCCACAGACUCGGCAAUCAACAACUUGACCGCAACCACUAAACAAGCCAGCAAGCCUCUCUUCAGUUACAUGCUGAUCAAUGUCGGAAACAUAUACUGUUCGUCUAAUACCAUCCUCCUGUUGCGCUCUAUAAGCUCUCCCAUUCAACUGCCUCUUCCCCUGAUUAUAGUUGUUUCUUCUCCUUUGAUUAGUGGGGAAAUUGUCAUUGCCCGGCUGCUUAUUGGGCACAGCAAAAUCACUGAGAUGAAGAUUGUUUUGGGUCUUAUUAUUGUUAUUGUAAGAAGAAGGAAAAAAUUCCUUUGCCAACGGAUUCAAUUUGGUGAUCAAAUCCACAAGCUUUAAAACACUGAAUUCGGAUUCCGAUUUUGGCUUCCCAUCGGAAUCCAAAUUCUUGGUGGUGUUGUUGAUAUUAUUAUUAGUAUUGGCAGGCCCGGCCCCGGCACCCGUGAUCUCCGCAACCGCCGCCCUAAAAGAAUGAAAAACGCAGAAUUAA